AUACUUAGCUGGCAGGGGAGAUACCAUGAUCACGAAGGUGGUUUUCCCAGGGUGAGCUUAUCUAUUGCAUUCCGGAUGUGCUGAGCCCUGCGAUUUCUGCAAACAUGGGAAACUCAACUGCAUAAUUUGUGGUAGUGGGGGACUACUUUCAUGCUCUCUCUUC